rnacentral:rRNA from 1 species
UUGUCAGAAUUGAGUAUAGGGGCGAAAGACCAAUCGAACCAUCUAGUAGCUGGUUCCCUCCGAAGUUUCCCUCAGGAUAGCUGGUGCAUUUAAAUAUUAUGUAAAAUAAUCUUAUCUGGUAAAGCGAAUGAUUAGAGGCCUUAGGGUCGAAACGACCUUAACCUAUUCUCAAACUUUAAAUGGGUAAGAACCUCACCUUUCUUGGUAUGAAGGUUGUGGUUGUGAUAUAAUGUGCCCAGUGGGCCACUUUUGGUAAGCAGAACUGGCGCUGUGGGAUGAACCAAACGUAAUGUUACGGUGCCCAAAUUAACAACUCAUGCAGAUACCAUGAAAGGCGUUGGUUGCUUAAAACAGCA